rnacentral:rRNA from 1 species
GGUAUGGUUCUUCGGAACCUGAGACCGGCGCACGGGUGCGUAACGCGUAUGCAAUCUACCUUUUACAGAGGGAUAGCCCAGAGAAAUUUGGAUUAAUACCUCAUAGUAUAUAGACUCGGCAUCGAGAUUAUAUUAAAGUCACAACGGUAAAAGAUGAGCAUGCGUCCCAUUAGCUAGUUGGUAAGGUAACGGCUUACCAAGGCUACGAUGGGUAGGGGUCCUGAGAGGGAGAUCCCCCACACUGGUACUGAGACACGGACCAGACUCCUACGGGAGGCAGCAGUGAGGAAUAUUGGACAAUGGGCGCAAGCCUGAUCCAGCCAUGCCGCGUGCAGGAUGACGGUCCUAUGGAUUGUAAACUGCUUUUAUACGAGAAGAAACACUCCGACGUGUCGGAGCUUGACGGUAUCGUAAGAAUAAGGAUCGGCUAACUCCGUGCCAGCAGCCGCGGUAAUACGGAGGAUCCAAGCGUUAUCCGGAAUCAUUGGGUUUAAAGGGUCCGUAGGCGGUUUAAUAAGUCAGUGGUGAAAGCCCAUCGCUCAACGGUGGAACGGCCAUUGAUACUGUUAAACUUGAAUUAUUAGGAAGUAACUAGAAUAUGUAGUGUAGCGGUGAAAUGCUUAGAGAUUACAUGGAAUACCAAUUGCGAAGGCAGGUUACUACUAAUAGAUUGACGCUGAUGGACGAAAGCGUGGGUAGCGAACAGGAUUAGAUAACCCUGGUAGUCCACGCCGUAAACGAUGGAUACUAGCUGUUGGAAGCAAUUUCAGUGGCUAAGCGAAAGUGAUAAGUAUCCCACCUGGGGAGUACGUUCGCAAGAAUGAAACUCAAAGGAAUUGACGGGGGCCCGCACAAGCGGUGGAGCAUGUGGUUUAAUUCGAUGAUACGCGAGGAACCUUACCAAGGCUUAAAUGUAGAUUGACCGUUUUGGAAACAGAACUUUCGCAAGACAAUUUACAAGGUGCUGCAUGGUUGUCGUCAGCUCGUGCCGUGAGGUGUCAGGUUAAGUCCUAUAACGAGCGCAACCCCUGUUGUUAGUUGCCAGCGAGUCAAGUCGGGAACUCUAACAAGACUGCCAGUGCAAACUGUGAGGAAGGUGGGGAUGACGUCAAAUCAUCACGGCCCUUACGCCUUGGGC